rnacentral:rRNA from 1 species
AUUGAACGCUGGCGGCAGGCCUAACACAUGCAAGUCGAACGAGUGGCGGACGGGUGAGUAAUGUCUGGGAAACUGCCUGAUGGAGGGGGAUAACUACUGGAAACGGUAGCUAAUACAGCAUACCAUCAGAUGUGCCCAGAUGGGAUUAGCUAGUUGGUGGGGUAACGGCUCCCCAAGGCGACGAGCCCUAGCUGGUCUGAGAGGAUUACCAGACACACUGGCACUGAGACAAGGUCCAGAAUCCUACGGUAGGCAGCAGUGGGGAAUAUUGCACAAUGGGCGUAAGCCUGAUGCAGCCAGGCCGCGUGUAUGAAGAAGGCCUUCGGGUUGUAAAGUACUUUCAGCGGGGAGGCGUUACCCGCAGAAGAAGCACCGGCUAACUCCGUGCCAGCAGCCGCGGUAAUAC